rnacentral:rRNA from 1 species
AGGGCACCACCAGGAGUGGAGCCUGCGGCUUAAUUUGACUCAACACGGGGAAACUCACCCGGCCCGGACACUGGAAGGAUUGACAGAUUGAGAGCUCUUUCUUGAUUCAGUGGGUGGKGGUGCAUGGCCGUUCUUAGUUGGUGGAGUGAUUUGUCUGGUUAAUUCCGAUAACGAACGAGACUCUAGCCUACUAAAUAGAUCGUCGGCUUACAAACGCCGGCGAGACUUCUUAGAGGGACAGGCGGUGAUUCAACCGCACGAAACAGAGCAAUAACAGGUCUGUGAUGCCCUUAGAUGUCCGGGGCCGCACGCGCGCUACACUGAAGUGAUCAGCGUGCUUUUUCAACCUACUCUGUCAAGAGUGGGGAACCCAAUGAACCUUCUUCGUGAUUGGGAUAGGGGAUUGUAAUUGUUCCCCUUGAACGAGGAAUUCCCAGUAAGCGCGAGUCAUAAGCUCGCGUUGAUUACGUCCCUGCCCUUUGUACACACCGCCCGUCGCUACUACCGAUUGAAUGUUUU